GGGACACGUGGUAUCCUGUCUGAAUAUGGGGGGACCAUCCUCCAAGGCUAAAUACUCCUGACUGACCGAUAGUGAACCAGUACCGUGAGGGAAAGGCGAAAAGAACCCCGGCGAGGGGAGUGAAAAAGAACCUGAAACCGUGUACGUACAAGCAGUGGGAGCACCUUCGGGUGUGACUGCGUACCUUUUGUAUAAUGGGUCAGCGACUUAUAUUCUGUAGCAAGGUUAACCGUAUAGGGGAGCCGCAGGGAAACCGAGUCUUAACUGGGCGUUAAGUUGCAGGGUAUAGACCCGAAACCCGGUGAUCUAGCCAUGGGCAGGUUGAAGGUUGGGUAACACUAACUGGAGGACCGAACCGACUAAUGUUGAAAAAUUAGCGGAUGACUUGUGGCUGGGGGUGAAAGGCCAAUCAAACCGGGAGAUAGCUGGUUCUCCCCGAAAGCUAUUUAGGUAGCGCCUCGUGAACUCAUCUUCGGGGGUAGAGCACUGUUUCGGCUAGGGGGUCAUCCCGACUUACCAACCCGAUGCAAACUACGAAUACCGAAGAAUGUUAUCACGGGAGACACACGGCGGGUGCUAACGUCCGUCGUGAAGAGGGAAACAACCCAGACCGCCAGCUAAGGUCCCAAAGUCAUGGUUAAGUGGGAAACGAUGUGGGAAGGCACAGACAGCCAGGAUGUUGGCUUAGAAGCAGCCAUCAUUUAAAGAAAGCGUAAUAGCUCACUGGUCGAGUCGGCCUGCGCGGAAGAUGUAACGGGGCUAAACCAUGCACCGAAGCUGCGGCAGCGACACUAUGUGUUGUUGG
rnacentral:rRNA from 1 species